AUUGAACGCUGGCGGCAGGCCUAACACAUGCAAGUCGAACGAGUGGCGGACGGGUGAGUAAUGCUUGGGAAUCUGGCUUAUGUAGGGGGAUAACUACGGGAAACUUUAGCUAAUACCGCGUACCACAGGAUUAGCCCAAGUGGGAUUAGGUAGUUGGUGAGGUAAAGGCUCACCAAGCCGACGAUCUCUAGCUGGUCUGAGAGGAUGAUCAGCCACACUGGGACUGAGACACGGCCCAGACUCCUACGGGAGGCAGCAGUGGGGAAUAUUGCGCAAUGGGGGAAACCUGACGGAGCCAUGCCGCGUGAAUGAAGAAGGCCUUCGGGUGGUAAAGUUCUUUCGUUAGCGAGGCGUUAACUACAGAAGAAGCACCGGCUAACUCCGUGCCAGCAGCCGCGGUAAUUC
rnacentral:rRNA from 1 species